rnacentral:rRNA from 1 species
UACGAAGGACCCGAGCGUUAUCCGGAUUUAUUGGGCUUAAAGGGUGCGUAGGCGGAUUAGUAAGUCAGUGGUGAAAGCCCGUCGCUUAACGGCGGAACUGCCAUUGAUACUGCUAGUCUUGAGUAUGGUUGAGGUGGGCGGAAUGUGUCAUGUAGCGGUGAAAUGCUUAGAUAUGACCCAGAACACCAAUUGCGAAGGCAGCUCGCUAAGCCAUAACUGACGCUGAGGCACGAAAGCGUGGGGAGCAAACAGG